GGCUACAUAAAUGGAGGCAGAGAUUGGAGUGAUGGGGCCACAAGCCAAGUAAUGCUGACAGCCACCAGAAUCUGGAAGAUACAAGAAACAGAAUAUUUUCUAGAAGCCUCUGGAGGGAACAU